GAACAAGCCCCAAACUAUUUCCCAGAGUUCCCCACGUUUCGGCCCUACAAAGCGGUCUUCCCUCGGGGGUUGAAGACUUCAGGCCAAGAUGGCGACAGGAACGGGCAAACACAAGCUGUUGAGUAGUGGCCCCACAGAACCAUGGUCCAUCCGAGAGAAGCUGUGUUUAGCAUCUUCUGUCAUGAGGAGUGGGGAUCAAAAUUGGGUAUCAGUUAGCAGAGCAAUCAAGCCCUUUGCAGAACCUGGCCGCCCUCCAGACUGGUUCUCUCAAAAACAUUGUGCUUCUCAGUACUCUGAACUUCUAGAAACUACCGAGACCCCAAAACGGAAACGGGGUGAAAAAGGAGAAGUGGUGGAAACUGUUGAAGAUGUCAUUGUUCGGAAAUUGACUGCUGAACGAGUUGAGGAACUAAAGAAAAUGAUAAAGGAAACCCAGGAAAAAUAUAGACGACUGAAAAGAGAUGCAGAACUAAUUCAAGCCGGGCACAUGGACAGCAGAUUGGAUGAGCUUUGCAAUGACAUUGCAAUGAAAAAGAAAUUGGAGGAAGAGGAGGCUGAAGUAAAGAGGAAGGCUACGGAUGCUGCAUAUCAAGCUCGUCAAGCAGUAAAAACACCCCCUCGGAGGUUACCCACUGUGAUGGUUCGAUCUCCUAUAGAUUCUGCCUCCCCAGGAAGUGAUUAUCCACUUGGGGACUUGACUGCAACCACUAUGGAAGAGGCCACCUCUGGCGUAACCCCUGGGACUUUGCCGAGUACCCCAGUCACCUCGUUUCCUGGGAUUCCUGACACCCUUCCUCCAGGCUCUGCACCCUUAGAAGCCCCCAUGACCCCAGUAACAGAUGAUUCACCCCAGAAAAAGAUGCUUGGACAGAAAGCAACUCCACCCCCCUCCCCUCUGCUGUCAGAGCUCUUGAAGAAGGGCAGCCUCCUGCCUACUAGCCCCAGACUGGUCAAUGAGAGUGAAAUGGCUGUGGCUUCUGCCCACCUGAACAGUACAGGUGUCCUCCUGGAGGUAGGCGGGGUCCUUCCCAUGAUACAUGGUGGGGAUUUGCAGCAAACACCCAACACUGUUGCAGCCUCCCCUGCUGCUUCAGGUGCUCCCACUCUUUCCCGGCUUUUAGAAGCUGGUCCUACACAGUUCACCACACCUCUUGCUUCCUUCACUACUGUUGCCAGUGAGCCUCCAGUUAAACUUGUGCCACCCCCUGUAGAGUCUGUGUCCCAGGCUACCAUUGUCAUGAUGCCUGCGCUACCAGCACCAUCCUCUGCUCCGGCUGUCUCCACUCCUGAGAGUGUAGCUCCAGUGAGUCAGCCUGACACUUGUGUUCCCAUGGAGGCUGUGGGGGAUCCACAUACUGUGACUGUUUCCAUGGAUAGCAGUGAAAUCUCCAUGAUUAUCAAUUCUAUCAAAGAAGAGUGUUUCCGAUCAGGGGUAGCAGAGGCUUCUGGAGGAUCAAAGGCUCCCAGCAUAGAUGGGAAGGAAGAUUUAGAUCUGGCUGAGAAGAUGGAUAUUGCUGUGUCUUACACUGGUGAAGAGCUUGACUUUGAGACCGUUGGAGACAUCAUUGCUAUCAUUGAGGACAAGGUAGAUGAUCAUCCUGAAGUGCUGGAUGUGGCAGCAGUGGAAGCAGCAUUGUCGUUCUGUGAAGAUAAUGAUGAUCCUCGGUCUCUGCCUGGCCCCUGGGAGCACCCUAUGCAGCAGGAACGGGACAAGCCAGUACCUCUUUCUGCACCAGAAUUGACAGUCAAGCAAGAGAGGCUGGACUUUGAGGAAUCGGAAAACAAAGGAAUCCACGAACUGGUAGACAUCAGAGAACCUGGUGUUGAGAUCAAAAUGGAACCUACAGAACCAGAGCAAGGCAUUUCAGGGGCUGAAAUAGUCACUGGGGUCGCUCCAGCCACAUGUAUAGAGCCACCAGAACUCAGGAAUCAGGACUUAGAUGAGGAACCCAGAAGUACUGCAGCUGGAGAGAUUGCUGAAGUAGAUGUUGCCAGUGGGAAAGGCGAUGAGACUCCAGUUACAACUGUGAAGACAGAGGCAUCCCCUGAAAGCAUGCUAUCUCCAUCACAUGGCUCAAAUCCCAUGGAAGAUCCUUUAGAGGCAGAAACUCAGCACAAAUUUGAAAUGUCAGACUCAUUGAAAGAAGAAUCAGGGACUAUUUUUGGAAGCCAGAUAAAGCACACUGUGUCUAAGGAUGCCCCAGGUGAGGAUGAGGAGGAAGAUGGAGUCAGUGAAGCAGCCAGUCUAGAGGAGCCUAAGGAAGAAGAUCAAGGAGAAGGCUAUUUGUCAGAAAUGGAUAACGAACCCCCUGUGAGCGAGAGUGAUGAUGGCUUUAGUAUACACAAUGCUACUCUGCAGUCCCACACACUGGCAGACUCCAUCCCCAGCAGUCCUGCUUCUUCUCAGUUCUCUGUCUGUAGUGAGGAUCAGGAAGCUAUUCAAGCACAAAAAAUCUGGAAGAAAGCCAUCAUGCUUGUAUGGAGAGCUGCAGCUAAUCAUAGAUAUGCCAAUGUAUUUCUGCAGCCUGUUACAGAUGACAUAGCACCUGGCUACCACAGCAUUGUGCAGAGGCCAAUGGAUCUGUCAACUAUUAAGAAAAACAUUGAAAAUGGACUGAUCCGCAGCACAGCUGAAUUUCAGCGUGACAUUAUGUUGAUGUUCCAGAAUGCUGUAAUGUAUAAUAGCUCGGAUCAUGAUGUCUAUCACAUGGCAGUAGAAAUGCAGCGAGAUGUUUUGGAGCAGAUCCAGGGCCAACUGUGUUUCUUCUCCCUACAGCAAUUCCUGGCCACACAGUUGAUUAUGCAAACAUCUGAGUCUGGGAUCAGUGCUAAAAGUCUUCGAGGAAGAGAUUCUACCCGCAAACAGGAUGCUUCAGAGAAGGACAGUGUCCCCAUGGGCUCUCCUGCCUUCCUUCUCUCUCUCUUUUGACUGGAUCCCCAAGCAAUUGGCUGGCUGUUACAAGGCUGGUUAAUAGGAUCUUUUAUCUAUGGAAGACAGCAAUGUAUUGCACAAGAGGAAGGAUCUGGGCUGCAGGGAGAGAGCAGCAGAUGGAAAGAAGCCUUCUGAUUGUCCUGAUCUCAUGGAAAACAACUGUCAGGAGGUGCUAGGGAACUAGUGCCAGGGUCAGUCUGCAGGAAAGGCCUUUCUUUAGGGACCAACAAACAGCUGGACAGGAUGGUGGCACCAGGGGGCGCCGCUGUGCCAUUGAAGCAGAUAUGAAGAUGAAAAAAUGAAAUCUCAGAGUACCCUCAUUGAGCUGAACCCGAAAAAGAAAUAAACAAGUUAAAGUUUGGGCUUGUGGGCCCAGUUCCAGAAUUGGGAGUUAACAGAAGAGGAGGCUCCUGGGCCAUGUGACAUGAUCUGGGAAAAUCUCAGAGUUGGAGUAGCAUAAUUGCCUGUUUUAGGGCAAAAAUCAUGGGCUGUGUUAAUGUCCUAAUGUGUAUGUAACUAACAGAUUGUAGCUAAUUUGUACUGUCUUGUGAAGUGUACAGACUUAAAAAAAAAUCUGUGAAGUGUUUGUGUUCACAAUAAACUCUGAAAGAAAACUCGU